ACGAACGCUGGCGGCGUGCCUAACACAUGCAAGUCGAACGGAGAUAAAAGAGCUUGCUCUUUUAUCUUAGUGGCGGACGGGUGAGUAACGCGUGAGCAACCUGCCUUUCAGAGGGGGAUAACACUGGGAAACCAGUGCUAAUACCGCAUAAGAUCAUAGGAUCGCAUGGUCAAGUGAUCAAAGGAGCAAUCCGCUGAAAGAUGGGCUCGCGUCCGAUUAGCUAGAUGGUGAGGUAACGGCUCACCAUGGCGACGAUCGGUAGCCGGACUGAGAGGUUGAACGGCCACAUUGGGACUGAGACACGGCCCAGACUCCUACGGGAGGCAGCAGUGGGGGAUAUUGCACAAUGGGGGAACCCUGAUGCAGCAACGCCGCGUGAGGGAAGAAGGUCUUCGGAUUGUAAACCUUUGUCUUUGGUGACGAAAAAAAUGACGGUAGCCAAGGAGGAAGCUCCGGCUAACUACGUGCCAGCCGCCGCGGUAAAAC
rnacentral:rRNA from 1 species